GCGGGGAAGCAGCCUGGAAACGGAAAGUGUUUUACAAGCUGCUUCGUAGAGUAUUUGAUUCACUCCAAGCGAGCAUCCCGCCUCUUAGCUAAAAGCUAAAUGAAUCCUCCAGCGAUCGCAUUGGUCGCACAGUCGGUGAAAAUAUAGGGAAAUUUAAACGCAAGAUGGACUCAAUUACAAGCGGUAAACAGAGGCAAAAAGUAUGAGCCGAGACGUGGGUUACAAAUACAAUAAACCCCGAGGAGAUCGCGCUACCACCAAGUGAUGUAUCGGCAAGGGUGACGAAAGAGAAGAACGACCUUCCGACCGCAGUUUAAGAAAAGACCACCGAGUUAUACGAUUCAGAAGGUCAGAGACUUGCCCACAAUGAUAAACAGUUUACAGAAGUUGGAAAGAAACAGUAGAACAGACAUCCAACCGAGGUACGGUAAUUCGGUUUUUAAUUCCCUCUUGUUACCAACGUAAACAAUUUGGUUGCUUAGGAAAUUACAAGUGGACCUGUUGGUGAAAUUCAACGUAAUGUUUAAAUCCGUUUAAAUUUUUAGAGCUUAUUUUGCUUUUCUCGGAAAGCAAUAAAAUCUCAAGACGCCCUUUGGUUCGGAGAAACAUACCGAUUAAUGUUUGAGUCAUUGUUGCUUCGGGACAAGAGAGGAUUCUGCCACCAAAUAAACUUGGAAACCCCGAAAAGAUGACGCUGAAAAAGAAGACGUACCGCUGGUUGAUGAAUCAACCCAGGCCAAUACACCAAGCCUUCAACAAACAUUAGAAGGAGACAUUUGCAAAGACAAGAAGAAGCUGACAUUCGACAAGCUUCCAAGAACUUACCUAGUGGAGGGCUGUUAAGCAAUUUUAGACUCCAGAUGUAACAUUCAAAAAACACCAGGGAAUCGGCCAGGAGCAGAGUUACAACUUGAAGAUCUACUAGAGCAAAAAAUUGAAGAACAUCAGCUGAAGGAAUUCAAUCACCAAGACAGUCCAGUAGUUAAAGUCAAAAUAUCAGGCGAUGGAGCCAGAAUGUCUCAUUCCAGCUCCCUUUUGGUUUGUUUCUUUUCUUGAGGGUCAACACGUUCUCUCUUGUGCAG